AGAGUUUGAUCCUGGCUCAGGAUGAACGCUAGCGGCAGGCUUAAUACAUGCAAGUCGAGGGGCAGCACGAAUAGCAAUAUUUGGUGGCGACCGGCGCACGGGUGCGUAACACGUAUACAACCUACCUAUAACAGGGGGAUAGCCUUUCGAAAGAGAGAUUAAUACCCCGUAAUAAAUUGAGUGGCAUCACUUGAUUUUGAAAGCUACGGCGGUUAUAGAUGGGUAUGCGUCUGAUUAGCUAGUUGGUGAGGUAACGGCUCACCAAGGCGACGAUCAGUAGGGGAUCUGAGAGGACUAACCCCCACACUGGUACUGAGACACGGACCAGACUCCUACGGGAGGCAGCAGUAAGGAAUAUUGGUCAAUGGAGGCAACUCUGAACCAGCCAUGCCGCGUGCAGGAUGACGGCCCUAUGGGUUGUAAACUGCUUUUGUACCAGAGAAAACCUACUCACGUGUGAGUAGCUGAUAGUAUGGUAAGAAUAAGCAUCGGCUAACUUCGUGCCAGCAGCCGCGGUAAGACGAAGGAUGCAAGCGUUAUCCGGAUUCAUUGGGUUUAAAGGGUGCGUAGGCGGACUUGUAAGUCAGUGGUGAAAUCUCUUCGCUUAACGAAGAAACUGCCAUUGAUACUGCAGGUCUAGAGUAUAGAUGACGUUGGCGGAAUAUGACAUGUAGUGGUGAAAUACUUAGAUAUGUCAUAGAACACCGAUUGCGAAGGCAGCUAACGAAACUAUAACUGACGCUGAGGCACGAAAGUGCGGGGAUCAAACAGGAUUAGAUACCCUGGUAGUCCGCACCGUA
rnacentral:rRNA from 1 species